AACGAACGCUGGCGGCAUGCCUAACACAUGCAAGUCGAACGAGACCUUCGGGUCUAGUGGCGCACGGGUGCGUAACGCGUGGGAACGUGCCCUUAGGUUCGGAAUAACUCCCCGAAAGGGGUGCUAAUACCGGAUAAUGUCUUCGGACCAAAGAUUUAUCGCCUUUGGAUGGGCCCGCGUUGGAUUAGCUAGUUGGUAGGGUAAAAGCCUACCAAGGCGACGAUCCAUAGCUGGUCUGAGAGGAUGAUCAGCCACACUGGGACUGAGACACGGCCCAGACUCCUACGGGAGGCAGCAGUGGGGAAUAUUGGACAAUGGGCGAAGGCCUGAUCCAGCAAUGCCGCGUGAGUGAUGAAGGCCUUAGGGUUGUAAAGCUCUUUUACCCGGGACGAUAAUGACAGUACCGGGAGAAUAAGCUCCGGCUAACUCCGUG
rnacentral:rRNA from 1 species